AUGCACGCUGGCGGCGUGCCUCAUACCUGCAAGUCGCGCGAACGGACGAGAAGCUUGCUUCUCUGAUGUUAGCGGCGGACGGGUGAGUAACACGUGGAUAACCUACCUAUAAGACUGGGAUAACUUCAGGAAACCGGAGCUAAUACCGGAUAAUAUUUUGAACCGCAUGGUUCAAAAGUGAAAGACGGUCUUGCUGUCACUUAUAGAUGGAUCCGCGCUGCAUUAGCUAGUUGGUAAGGUAACGGCUUACCAAGGCAACGAUGCAUAGCCGACCUGAGAGGGUGAUCGGCCACACUGGAACUGAGACACGGUCCAGACUCCUACGGGAGGCAGCAGUAGGGAAUCUUCCGCAAUGGGCGAAAGCCUGACGGAGCAACGCCGCGUGAGUGAUGAAGGUCUUCGGAUCGUAAAACUCUGUUAUUAGGGAAGAACAUAUGUGUAAGUAACUGUGCACAUCUUGACGGUACCUAAUCAGAAAGCCACGGCUAACUACGUG
rnacentral:rRNA from 1 species